UGAUGAGGAAUAAUUAUUAUUAUUCACAGAAAAUGGAAACAUUUGUAAAUAAAACUGUAAAACUGUCAAAUGGAAUGAUGUGGUAAACAAACAAACAUGCUUCAGGGUGGGAACCACACAUGUAGAUACCAUCCGUUCACCUUCUCUGCGUCUCACAAAGACAAGGCGGUCUGAACCAGAACUCUCGGAUCUGGACUCAACAGUCCAAAUUUCCUCUGGUCUGAAUGUCAAACGAGCAGAGAGUUUUAUAAAUGAACACAACGUUUAAAGAGAAAAUAUAACAAACACAAAGAGACAAAAAGGAUUUAAUUUGAUGAUGGAGUUCUGCUUCUCCAGGGUCACUUUGGACUGUGACGGACAGGAGACAGACCUGAUCCAGACCGUCUGAGACCAGGACUCCUCAUUUAGGAAGAAUACAUCAGACUUCAGUGUUAAUGAACCGUGUUGGACAGAUCAACCACGCCACCCAGUGGACAAACACAGCUGUCAUCUCUCACCUGUGCUCACCUGAGGUUCACUUUGGACUGUGACGGACAGGAGACAGACCUGAUCAGACCGUCUGAGACCAGGACUCCUCAUUUAGGAAGAAUACAUCAGAGUAAGUUGGAUUUUGAAGUAUUUGAUUAUUGUUUCUGUCAUGUUUGUGAGGACAUACGAAGAGUUAGAGUUUACGGAGGUUUAAGAAAUGUGAGUAGACAAGUACAGCUCCAUGUGUA